GUGGGGAAUCUUAGACAAUGGGGGAAACCCUGAUCUAGCCAUGCCGCGUGAGCGAUGAAGGCCUUAGGGUUGUAAAGCUCUUUCAGCUGGGAAGAUAAUGACUGUACCAGCAGAAGAAGCCCCGGCUAACUCCGUGCCAGCAGCCGCGGUAAUACGGAGGGGGCUAGCGUUGUUCGGAAUUACUGGGCGUAAAGCGCACGUAGGCGGACCGGAAAGUCAGAGGUGAAAUCCCAGGGCUCAACCUUGGAACUGCCUUUGAAACUCCUGGUCUUGAGGUCGAGAGAGGUGAGUGGAAUUCCGAGUGUAGAGGUGAAAUUCGUAGAUAUUCGGAGGAACACCAGUGGCGAAGGCGGCUUACUGGUCCAUUACUGACGCUGAGGUGCGAAAGCGUGGGGAGCAAACAGGAUUAGAAACCCCUGUAGUCC
rnacentral:rRNA from 1 species